UAUAGAGCCAGCACGGCCCGCUAGCAGCACAGUGCGGAGACUGGAGCCCUAGAGCCCGCCCGAGCAUCAGAGUGUCCACUAGUCCCCGCUAUUCCGGCCCUGCGCUCCUCCGGCCAUAGGUGCGGAGCCGCUGUCUAGAGCCCCAGCCUCGCCACCAUGAGACUCCUGCUGGCAUGCCUUCUCCUCUGCGCCCUGGUCGUGAGAGACUCCGAGGGCAGCCAUGAACUUCAUCAAGUGUCUGGUGCCUCGAAGUGUGGCUGUCUGAAUGGAGGAAAAUGUGUGUCCUACAAGUACUUCUCCAACAUUCAACGAUGCGACUGCCCAAAGAAAUUCCAAGGGGAACACUGUGAGAUAGAUACAUCGAAAACCUGCUAUCAGGGGAAUGGUCACUCUUACCGAGGGAAGGCCAACACUGACACCAGCGGCCGGCCCUGCCUGGCCUGGAACUCUCCCACCAUCCUUCUGAAAACGUACCAUGCCCACAGACCUGAUGCCCUUCAGCUGGGACUGGGGAAACACAAUUACUGCAGGAACCCAGACAAUCAGAGGAGACCCUGGUGCUAUGUGCAUGUUGGCCUAAUGCAGGUUGUCCAGGAGUGCAUGGUGCACAGCUGCUCUUCUGCAAGAUAUCACUUUCUUUCUCCUCCAGAAAAGUUACAGUGUGGCCAGAAGGCUCUGAGGCCCCGCUUUAAGAUUGUUGGGGGAGAAUUCACCACCAUCGAGAACCAGCCUUGGUUUGCAGCCAUCUAUAGGAGGCACCGUGCAGGCUCUGUUACCUACAUGUGCGGUGGCAGCCUCAUCAAUCCCUGCUGGGUGGUCAGCGCCACACACUGCUUCAUUGAAUACCAAAAGAAGGAGGACUACAUUGUCUACCUGGGUCGGUCAAAGCUUAACUCCAUCACGCCUGGCGAGAUGCAGUUUGAGGUGCAAAAGCUCAUCUUACAUAAGGACUACAGUGCUGACACCCUUGCUCACCACAAUGAUAUUGCCUUGCUGAAGAUCCGUUCCAGCACAGGCCAGUGUGCACAGCCAUCCCGGUCCAUACAGGUCAUCUGCCUGCCCCCAGCGAAUGGGGAUGCCCAUUUUGGCACAAGCUGUGAGGUUACUGGCUUUGGAAAAGAGAAUCCCUCUGACUAUAUCUAUCCAGAGCAGCUGAAAAUGACUGCUGUGAAGCUGGUUUCCCACGAGGAGUGUCAGCAGCCCCACUACUAUGGCACUGAAGUCACCAGCAAAAUGCUGUGUGCGGCUGACCCACAGUGGAAAACAGAUUCCUGCCAGGGAGACUCAGGGGGGCCGCUGGUCUGCUUCACCCAAGGCCGCAUGACUCUGACUGGGAUUGUGAGCUGGGGCCGUGAAUGUGCCAUGAAGGAAAAGCCAGGCGUCUACACAAGGGUCUCAAGCUUCCUGCCCUGGAUCCACACUCACAUUGGGGGAGAGAAUGGCCUAGCCCUCUGAGGGCCCCCAGAGAACCAAGGGAAGAGACGGGUACCACCCACUCCCACAGUGACCGUCAUUUUUGCAGUAGGGCCAUCUGCACAGCUAUAUAUAACGAAGAGACUGAGGAAGAUGAGCUCUGCAGAGGUGGUUUUGCUUGUGCUGCCCAUCAGGCUGGACUACUUCAUGGCUGAGAGAAUGAGGAGGAAGGAUGGACAGAGGCACGGGGUGGGAUAAACACUUUGCUUAGAACAUCCAUCUAAAGCAGUGGCUCUCCAGGUAUGGUCCUUAAAUCAGCAACUUCAGAUCACCUAGCACAUGUUAGAAGUGCAAAAUUAUCAGGUCCCACUCAAACCUACUGAAUCAGCAACUCUAGAGGUGGGGCCCAGCAAUCUGUGUUUUAACAAGACCUCCAGGUGAUUCUUUUACAUACUCAAGUUUGAGAACCACCCAUCUAAUGCAUUGAUUCUCAGACUUCAGUAUGCACACGAACCACCUGGGGAGCUUGUUAACCAUAACGUGGUUAAACAAAACUGGAUUGGUAUCUGGGCAACUGUAUUUUUAGCAAACUCCCUAGGUGAUUCUGGUAUUCAUCAAAGAUUGAGAAUCACUGAUCUAAGGAAUUCAUUUUAUCAGUUAGCUGAGUCUCCUGGGGAGGGAGCAGACAGAAGGCUGUGGAAAUGUCUCUCAAAGUUACAAAUGCCACCUGCAUCUGCACUUCUGGGGAGCUUGUUAGAAAAGCAGGAUCUGAGUAUCAGAUGUAUUGACCCCAAAUCUCUGGACCUGAGGACCUGGCAGCCACAUUCAGAGUUCUCCAGGUGAUUCUUAUGCAUGUGAAAGUUUGAUAACCCCGGAGCAACAGGUCAGCAGGCAUUCUCAAUGAUGGAUGCAUGUUAGAAUCACCUGGGGAGCUUUAACAGUGACCUGAUAUCUGAACCCCACCUCCAGAGAGUCUGAUUUAAUUGGUCUGGGAUGGGGCUUCAAUAUUUUAUACAAGUCGUCCCUCCCACCCCCACCCAAGUGAUUUUAAUGUAUCGUUAGGGUUAAGAACCAUCAGGUUAAAGGAUGAUGCAGAUCUGGGAAGAAUCAGGAAAUAAGAGAAAGCGAAGGAGUGCCAAAGAAACAAUUGGUGGAAUCCUGUGGGGGAGGUUAGAAAUGUCAAGUUGGAAAUAGGGAGGAGAUAGAAAGGUGGGAAGGGCCUCAGGUGGGAGGGGGAGUAGGUUGGCUUGAGUGGUGUGGAGCUUGGUGUAGGAAAAGGGUUAGUGUAUUAGUUUUCUACUGCUGCUGUAACACAUUACCACAAAUUUAGUGACUUAAAAUAACAUAAAGGCAUUAUUUUACAAUUCUGGAGGUCAGAAAUCCAAAAUGGGUCAGCAGGGCUGAAUUCCUUCUGGAGAUUCUAGGGGAGCAGAAUCUAUUUCCUUGCCUUUUCUAGCUUCUAGAGGCUACCCACAUUCCUUAGCUCAUGACUCCAUAUCACUCUGACCUUUGCUUCUGGCAUCACAUCUCCCUCUCUCACUCUGACUCUCCUGUUUCCCUCUUAUAAAGAUCCCCUUAUAGAUUGUGAUUAUGUCGGUCCUACCCAGAUAAUCUAGAAUAAUCUCCCCAUCUCAAGAUCAUAACUUAAUCACAUCUGCAAAGUCCCUUUUUUCAUGUAAGCUAACAUAGUCAUAGAUUCCAGGGAUUAGGAUGUGGAUAUUCUUGAGGGUCAUUAUUUGGCCCACAACAGUCUGCUCUCUGGCCCCCAAAGAUUCACAAUCAUCACAUAUACAAAAUACACUCACCCCCAUUCCAACAUCCUCCCAAAUCUCGACCCAUUAGAGCAUGAACUCAAAGCCGAAAAUCUCAUCACCUCAAAAGCCCCAACUUUCAUCAUCUAAAUAUUCUUAAAUAAGGUAUGAGUGAGGUACUGGAUAUAAUCCAUCCUAAGACCCAUGUUCUCUCCAUCUGUGAACCUGUGAAACUCAAGAAACAAGUUAUCUGCUUCUAGGAAUAGGCAUAGGAUAAUAGUUAUAGACAUUCUCAUUCAAAAAGGGAGAAAAUGGAAGGAAAAAAGAAGUCACUGGUCCCAAGAAAUGUCAAAAUACUGCUGGGCAAACUCCUUUAGGUUUCAAGGACUGAGAAUAAUCCUCUGUGGCUCAAGGCUCUGUCCUCUGGGGUUGCCCCUCCUCUCUCAGAGUCAUUUUUCCUUUUACUUGAAGGGUAACUUAUGUUUGCAGCAAGAACUUUUAUCACCCUGUUUCCUGCCUGUGGAAUGUUGAGAGUCUGAUAAUCUUCUUUCAUUUUGUUUUCUCUGUCACUUUCAGUCCAAAGUGUUUCUACUGAUAUAAAAUUCUUACGAACCUUGUGGGUCUCUCACAUAUGUCAUAGGCAUUCACUCCAUUAGAUAAAAGUCUUCUCCACAGAUUUUUCUUGGAUGAUCCCAUCUCUAUCUCUGGAUUCUGCUGAGAUGGUUGUGGGGAUCCAUGAGUAACAUGCCCAAUCCAUUGUAAGAGCAUUUUGUAGUAAUAAAUGCUCUGACUUUUUGUAUUAGCAGAAGGUCGUCCAGUCACAACUUUGACUUUCUCUCUAGAGUAUUGUUUCCUGAGAGUGAAUCUGCUAAUUAUAACGUCUUUUCCAAUCUGGAUAGGGUGAGAAUCUCCCAGACCACUAAGUCCUGGUUCCUUUUUAUUCAGAGUUCUUCCCUCAGUUUACUUUCCUCUCACAUUUUACUAUAAAGAUCAAACAUAAAUCAGAUUUCACCUUCAACACUUUGCUUGGAAAUCUCCUAAGCUAAAUACCCAAGUUCAUUCCUCACAAGUUCUGCUUUCCAUAAAACUAUAGGAUACAAUUCAGCUAAGUUUCUGCCACUAUAUAACAAAGACAUCCCCCUCUUCAGUUUCCAAUAAAAUAUUCCUCACUUCCAGGCCUUCACCAGCUGUACCUUCAAUGUCCAUA